rnacentral:rRNA from 1 species
GAUGAACGCUGGCGGCGUGCCUAAUACAUGCAAGUCGAGCGAACAGACGAGGAGCUUGCUCCUCUGACGUUAGCGGCGGACGGGUGAGUAACACGUGGAUAACCUACCUAUAAGACUGGGAUAACUUCGGGAAACCGGAGCUAAUACCGGAUAAUAUAUUGAACCGCAUGGUUCAAUAGUGAAAGACGGUUUUGCUGUCACUUAUAGAUGGAUCCGCGCCGCAUUAGCUAGUUGGUAAGGUAACGGCUUACCAAGGCAACGAUGCGUAGCCGACCUGAGAGAGUGAUCGGCCACACUGGAACUGAGACACGGUCCAGACUCCUACGGGAGGCAGCAGUAGGGAAUCUUCCGCAAUGGGCGAAAGCCUGACGGAGCAACGCCGCGUGAGUGAUGAAGGUCUUCGGAUCGUAAAACUCUGUUAUUAGGGAAGAACAAAUGUGUAAGUAACUAUGCACGUCUUGACGGUACCUAAUCAGAAAGCCAUGGCUAACUACGUG